rnacentral:lncRNA from 1 species
GGCAUUGUCAAGAGCUCUGCUGAGCUCUCUCUACUUUGAUCACUUAAUGACAAAAGCUGAUUUUCUUUAAUGCCAUCUAUUUUCAAAAAGGGGGAAAAGGGGGACAUAUAGGAGUGUGUGCACAUGCUACAUGUAUAUCUUUAAAAGGAAGGAAAACAAACAUUUAUCACACAGUACAGAUAACAGAGCCCAUCUUAGACACUGAAUGCAUCCAAAUCCAACUGCAAUACAGCAGUCCAGAAACUGCAUGGUGGGGAUCCAAGCACAAGGUGAUACGCUGAACAGAAUUCAGACCAAACUCACAAGGCCUUGUUUUAUUCCUCUUCCCUGUUCUUCUAGAGGGAGAGGAAUACAAAAUCUACAGAGAGGAAGAGUCACUGCUGCCUUCCCAGAGCCUGCUUCUGCAUCUGAUUUGUCAAGAUAACUAGGACAGAGGAGAGCACAAGAUAAGCAGUGGACAUGGCACAGGCAGAUCCUCAAGCAUUCACAUUUAUCCUUCAGGGCUAAGAGACACUUGUGAGUUCUCAGAGCACAGGGUUUCUCUUUGAAUAAGCACCACUACUACAGCAGACAUGUAACUUCCAAGAACUCCUCUCCCACACAUCCCCAAAUAAAG